rnacentral:misc_RNA from 1 species
UCCGGUUCAUCACCGGCAGUCCCCUAUGAGUCCCCGGCCGAACCGCUGGCAACAUAGGGCAAGGGUUGCGCUCGUUGCGGGACUUAACCCAACAUCUCACGACACGAGCUGACGACAGCCAUGCAGCACCUGUGCAAGCUCCCCUUGCGGGGUCGUCCCACUUUCAUGGUCCUACCACUUGCAUGUCAAGGCCAGGUAAGGUUCUUCGCGUUGCAUCGAAUUAAGCCACAUGCUCCGCCGCUUGUGCGGGCCCCCGCCAAUUCCUUUGAGUUUUAGCCUUGCGGCCGUACUCCCCAGGCGGGGCACUUAAUGCGUUAGCUUCGGCACGGAGGGAGUCGACACCCCCCACACCUAGUGCCCAUCGUUUACGGCGUGGACUAC